rnacentral:rRNA from 1 species
CCUACGGGAGGCAGCAGUGAGGAAUAUUGGUCAAUGGACGCAAGCCUGAACCAGCCAUGUCGCGUGCAGGAGUACUGCCCUAUGGGUUGUAAACCUCUUUUGUCCGGGAGCAAAAGCCGGACGUGUCCGCCGGUUGAAGUACCCGAAGAAAAAGCAUCGGCUAACUCCGUGCCAGCAGCCGCGGUAAUACGGAGGAUGCGAGUGUUAUCCGGAUUUAUUGGGUUUAAAGGGUGCGCAGGCGGAUUUUUAAGUCAGCGGUCAAAUCGUGGGGCUCAACCCCAUCCAGCCGUUGAAACUGGGGAUCUAGAGUGUGCGAGAGGUAUGCGGAAUGCGUGGUGUAGCGGUGAAAUGCAUAGAUAUCACGCAGAACCCCGAUUGCGAAGGCAGCAUACCGGUGCACAACUGACGCUCAGGCACGAAAGCGUGGGUAUCGAACAGGAUUAGAUACCCUAGUAGUC